CAGUCACGAAAACCAGCUCGUACGCCCGCGGCAACAGCAGGAGGGACGGGCUGGGGCGGUCAGUUAGCUCACGCACAGUCUAAUAUUCCGGGCCCGGAGGGGCACGCCCGAGGACCCUUGGCAGGCUGUGCUGUUGUGUGUUUGUAGCGCCCGGCCCGGCCGAGGCCGCGAGGAGCCCGCCGCGCACCCGGCGCACGGGGCCGCCGCCGGACGCCUCCAUUGUGUGACCGCGACCAGGGCCGCUCGCGCAGGGUCCUCAGGCCGCUGUCCCCUGCAGCCACCGUGAGUCCUGCUUCUGCCGCCCCUCUGGAGGGUCUCGGGUUGGAUCCUGUCACUGCACCUGCACGUCCAGGAGCCGCCGUCGCGUGAGGUCAGGGAGUCGCGCCUCAAGGUCAGGAGAGGAGGCCGGGUGCUGCCCACGAGGGAAUUCCCCGCCGGAGCCCAGGAGCCAGGAAGAUGUGCUGACUCCGGCGAGGCCGAGGGGCUCCUGACCGCCGGCACGCUCGCCCUCGAGCGCGGGGGACACACUGUGCGGUCCUUUCCCUCGAAGGGAGCGUCCGGGACUUCCCCACGAGCGGAGGCCCCAGGGCUCGGCCGCCAGCUCUGGCGUUGGCAGCCCUUGGGAAUGUUGACAACUCAGGAUCUCCAAGGCGGGUUUCGUGAGUGAGUCCAGAGGCGCGCGAGGCGAAUGCCGCUGUAGCGCUGGGAGGGGCACUAUGCAGGAAGAAGCCUUCCGUAGGAACGCAGGCAGGGAGACGCUCAGGCUGGCCGCACGCCCGCCCAGCGGAGCCAGCCCCAGAUAGGCGGCCGCCAUGGCCAAGUGAGAGACUGGCUGACAGCAGUCCCGCAGCCUGCGUGUCCGGACGUGUUCUCGAACU
rnacentral:lncRNA from 1 species